UUUUCUCAUCUCCAUUCCUUUGAAGUCCAAUGAUGGCACUCCUUCCUGCGUUCAGUUUCUUUUUGUCUUCAUAUCUCUCCGGUCAAUCCAAACUGUCUCCUUUGCAAUUUGGCUUCAGUUCUUCCUUGAGUUGUUGUUCCCUUUCGUCUCCUCCCUAAUCUGCAGCUCCGGCGAGAUACUGAAUGGCUUUGCCCACCCUCUCGGGCGGCUCCCUCGUCGUGGCUCCCUGUUUCAUCAAACUGUCGCAAUUUCCAUGUCGUCGAGGCUCGGUGACGAUGAGUUCGACUACAUGACUGUUGGGAUCUUGCCGGUGAGUUCCCAAAACCCAAGCGCAUGCAUGCUCCUCCAACCCAAGGAACUUACUCUUGAGCUUUUCGGAUCUACAAGACUCACACUAUUUUUAUAGGAGGUGUGGGUGAGCCUAUGUUGAUCGGGAGACUCAGAUGAAAUGCAGAGUUCUGCAAAGCAAAAAACUACUUAUCUCUGAAGAGAUGUUGCUGCCGGGAAAUCCAGCCUCCGAUUUAUGUAGGCCAAGUCAGAAUCUUCUCCUCUUUGUUGCGAUUUUCACUCUUUGAAUUUCAACUUUUUUUAUAUGAUCCAAUCUUCAUAUACUGUUAGAAUCAUGGUUAGCUGUAGCAUACUGACAUCCGUGGUUUGUUUUUGAAGGUCACUUAGGCAAGGCCUUGAAGGUUAGCAUCAUUACACAAAUUUCCAGAUUCAAAGUGCAUAACUGAAGAGAAACUCUGUUUAGGUAGGCUGUCUUUGGAAUUUAUGUCUUCUUGAACUUGCACUUUGACAAGCUUACUGAUAUGGAAUUGUCAUAUAUACUUCUCCAUACAACCAUAUUUCAUAUGAUGAUGGUGGUGUAGCACUAGCCAUGUUGUGUUUGUGGAUCAGAUUAAGACAUUGACUAUAUAUGAGAGUUUGUGUUUGUAAUGGAAGUUUUGUACCUUGUAUUCCUCUCCAAUAAGUUAUUCCAGUGUCGCCAUAAUCCAAGUGUUGCC
rnacentral:lncRNA from 1 species